UGGGGAAUAUUGCACAACGGGCGCAAGCCUGAUGCAGCCAUGCCGCGUGUAUGAAGAAGGCCUUCGGGUUGUAAAGUACUUUCAGCGGGGAGGAAGGCGAUAAGGUUAAUAACCUUGUCGAUUGACGUUACCCGCAGAAGAAGCACCGGCUAACUCCGUGCCAGCAGCCGCGGUAAUACGGAGGGUGCAAGCGUUAAUCGGAAUUACUGGGCGUAAAGCGCACGCAGGCGGUCUGUCAAGUCGGAUGUGAAAUCCCCGGGCUCAACCUGGGAACUGCAUUCGAAACUGGCAUGCUAGAGUCUUGUAGAGGGGGGUAGAAUUCCAGGUGUAGCGGUGAAAUGCGUAGUGAUCUGGAGGAAUACCGGUGGCGAAGGCGGCCCCCUGGACAAAGACUGACGCUCAGGUGCGAAAGCGUGGGGAGCAAACA
rnacentral:rRNA from 1 species